AGAGUUUGAUCCUGGCUCAGAUUGAACGCUGAGGCUUAACAUGCAAGUCGAACGGCAGCACGGGCUUCGGCCUGGUGGCGAGUGGCGAACGGGUGAGUAAUGCAUCGGAACGUACCGUGUAAUGGGGGAUAACGUAGCGAAAGUUACGCUAAUACCGCAUACGCCCUGAGGGGGAAAGCGGGGGAUCGUAAGACCUCGCGUUAUACGAGCGGCCGAUGUCGGAUUAGCUAGUUGGUGGGGUAAAGGCCUACCAAGGCGACGAUCCGUAGCGGGUCUGAGAGGAUGAUCCGCCACACUGGGACUGAGACACGGCCCAGACUCCUACGGGAGGCAGCAGUGGGGAAUUUUGGACAAUGGGCGCAAGCCUGAUCCAGCCAUGCCGCGUGAGUGAAGAAGGCCUUCGGGUUGUAAAGCUCUUUCAGACGGAAAGAAAUCGCGCGCUCUAACAUAGCGUGUGGAUGACGGUACCGUAAGAAGAAGCACCGGCUAACUACGUGCCAGCAGCCGCGGUAAUACGUAGGGUGCGAGCGUUAAUCGGAAUUACUGGGCGUAAAGCGUGCGCAGGCGGUGAUGUAAGACAGAUGUGAAAUCCCCGGGCUCAACCUGGGAACUGCGUUUGUGACUGCAUCACUCGAGUACGGCAGAGGGAGGUGGAAUUCCACGUGUAGCAGUGAAAUGCGUAGAGAUGUGGAGGAACACCGAUGGCGAAGGCAGCCUCCUGGGCCAGUACUGACGCUCAUGCACGAAAGCGUGGGGAGCAAACAGGAUUAGAUACCCUGUAGUCCACGCCCUAAACGAUGUCAACUAGUUGUUCGGUGAGGAGACUCAUUGAGUAACGCAGCUAACGCGUGAAGUUGACCGCCUGGGGAGUACGGCCGCAAGGUUAAAACUCAAAGGAAUUGACGGGGACCCGCACAAGCGGUGGAUGAUGUGGAUUAAUUCGAUGCAACGCGAAAA
rnacentral:rRNA from 1 species